UACGUAGGGUGCAAGCGUUGUCCGGAUUUAUUGGGCGUAAAGAGCUCGUAGGCGGUCUGUCGCGUCGGCUGUGAAACCCCGUGGCUCAACCUCGGGCCUGCAGUCGAUACGGGCAGACUAGAGUGUGGUAGGGGAGACUGGAAUUCCUGGUGUAGCGGUGAAAUGCGCAGAUAUCAGGAGGAACACCGGUGGCGAAGGCGGGUCUCUGGGCCAUAACUGACGCUGGAGGAGCGAAAGCGUGGGAGCGAACAGG
rnacentral:rRNA from 1 species